rfam:Pan troglodytes isolate Yerkes chimp pedigree #C0471 (Clint) chromosome 20, whole genome shotgun sequence.
CCGUCCGGCGUCCUAGGCGGGGCACCACGGGACUUCCCUAGUGUCUGUGGCGGUGGGAUCCCGUGGCCGUGUUUUCCUGGUGGCCCGGCC